AACGAACGCUGGCGGCAUGCCUAACACAUGCAAGUCGAACGAGACCUUCGGGUCUAGUGGCGCACGGGUGCGUAACGCGUGGGAAUCUGCCCUUGGGUUCGGAAUAACAGUUGGAAACGACUGCUAAUACCGGAUGAUGACGUAAGUCCAAAGAUUUAUCGCCCAGGGAUGAGCCCGCGUAGGAUUAGCUAGUUGGUGGGGUAAAGGCCUACCAAGGCGACGAUCCUUAGCUGGUCUGAGAGGAAGAUCAGCCACACUGGGACUGAGACACGGCCCAGACUCCUACGGGAGGCAGCAGUGGGGAAUAUUGGACAAUGGGCGAAAGCCUGAUCCAGCAAUGCCGCGUGAGUGAUGAAGGCCUUAGGGUUGUAAAGCUCUUUUACCCGGGAUGAUAAUGACAGUACCGGGAGAAUAAGCCCCGGCUAACUCCGUG
rnacentral:rRNA from 1 species